AAGUCGUAACAAGGUUUCCGUAGGUGAACCUGCGGAAGGAUCAUUAUCGAAACCAAAGGCCUAGGAGGUCCCCCGCCUCCGAAGCUUCGAACCUUUCAACACCAGUGUGCACCCGCCGUAGGUCCUUCGGGAUCUAUGUCUUCUCUUUCGAACUCGUAUGUCUACAGAAUGUAUGCGUCGCUCCGGCGACGGGUUAAGCCCUAUACAACUUUCAGCAAUGGAUCUCUUGGCUCUC
rnacentral:misc_RNA from 1 species